AGGUGACUGAUGUCCGGUGAGAAGGUGAAAGUGACCUAUACCCCUGUCAGCUACAGGAAAGGAACCAAGAGACAGGUGACUGAUGCCCGGUGAGAAGGUGAAAGUGACCUAUACCCCCGUCAGCUGCAGGAAAGGAACCAAGAGACAGGUGACUGAUGCCCGGUGAGAAGGUGAAAGUGACCUAUACCCCUGUCAGCUGCAGUAAAAGAACCAACAGACAGGUAAUUAAU